rnacentral:lncRNA from 1 species
AAGAAAGUCAACAUUGACUUUGAACCUUUCAAACCAAUUAAUACGUCAUUGUAUUUGUGUGACAACAAAUUCCAUACAGAGGCUCUUACAGCACUACUUUCAGAUGAUAGCAAGUUUGGAUUCAUUGUAAUAGAUGGUAGUGGUGCACUUUUUGGCACACUCCAAGGAAACACAAGAGAAGUCCUGCACAAAUUCACUGUGGAUCUCCCAAAGAAACACGGUAGAGGAGGUCAGUCAGCCUUGCGUUUUGCCCGUUUAAGAAUGGAAAAGCGACAUAACUAUGUUCGGAAAGUAGCAGAGACUGCUGUGCAGCUGUUUAUUUCUGGGGACAAAGUGAAUGUGGCUGGUCUAGUUUUAGCUGGAUCCGCUGACUUUAAAACUGAACUAAGUCAAUCUGAUAUGUUUGAUCAGGUAAGUAAGAAGUAGAUGCUUUAUUAUGUAAGACCCUAGGUAGGAGUAGGUGAGUCCUCUGUGUG